rnacentral:rRNA from 1 species
UACGUAGGGGGCAAGCGUUGUCCGGAAUCAUUGGGCGUAAAGCGCGUGUAGGCGGCUCGUUAAGUCUGCUGUGAAAGUCCAGGGCUCAACCCUGGGAUGCCGGUGGAUACUGUCGAGCUCGAGUCCGGAAGAGGCGAGUGGAAUUCCUGGUGUAGCGGUGAAAUGCGCAGAUAUCAGGAGGAACACCGAUGGCGAAGGCAGCUCGCUGGGACGUGACUGACGCUGAGACGCGAAAGCGUGGGGAGCAAACAGG